GCCCGGAUGGUCUAGUGGUAUGUUUUCAUAUACUAUGCGAGAGGUCGCGCGUUCGACUCGCGCUUCGGGCC
rnacentral:tRNA from 1 species